rnacentral:rRNA from 1 species
UACGUAGGGUGCAAGCGUUGUCCGGAAUUAUUGGGCGUAAAGAGCUCGUAGGCGGUUUGUCGCGUCUGCUGUGAAAUCCGGAGGCUCAACCUCCGGCCUGCAGUGGGUACGGGCAGACUAGAGUGCGGUAGGGGAGAUUGGAAUUCCUGGUGUAGCGGUGGAAUGCGCAGAUAUCAGGAGGAACACCGAUGGCGAAGGCAGGUCUCUGGGCCAUAACUGACGCUGAGAAGCGAAAGCAUGGGGAGCGAACAGG